CUCUGGGUCCCCAGGCGGAACACAAGACUUGAGAGAAUCAUACUCGAAGCAUCUUUGUGGAAAGGACCGCAGUGUCACUCAGGAACUCCAACUCUGCCAUCAGGAGCAGGAUCUAACACCACCCAACAAGUGCUCAGCUCCUGCACCGGAUUUCCACAAGUCCAAAACCCCAACCCCUGUAGGAGACACCAGCUUGUCGAGUUUCCAUGGAUGGAUAUGCACCCACGUCACCCUCAUUGCCACGGGAAUCCAGACUCUCCAAAAAAUGGUCCUGGCCUCUUAGAGUUCACCCUCCUGGCAUUGAACUUGAGAGGUUUACAGAGCAGCAGAAAGAACACGGAAGUUCACGAAUCCUUCACUCUCCUCAAGCUUCCACAGCGGGUAUGGUCAGCUCCUGAGACAUCCUGUUGGUCGCAGUCUGAGGAAGAUUAUAUUGUUCACACAUGCGACAGCACGUUCCUCCUCAGACGCCACUUCUGGGGGCUGGAGCAAACUCACCACCAGCUUUAUCAGGCUGUCCAGGAACCUGUGGGCCCAUCGGGUGGAAUAAGGUUGCCCUCUGUUAUGUCCUGUUUUGGAAGCCUACUUAAGGCAUGAGGCCACACUUGUAAUAAAACGCCAAGCAACCCAAAGCAGGCAACAAAAUCAUUUAUUCUUAAGUGGUCCCAACUUCGUAGCUACCCAUGGCGCUAUGACUUUUGGGGAAAUCUCUGAAAGCUCUAUCUGAAAACUCUCAAAAUUAUUGCGUCAGCUAGGAGAUCAUUUCUGAACCUCAUUUUUAACAGGCAUGAGACACCAGCGUAACGGAACACACACUCUGUACUAAUGCCAUUUAAUGUACUGAUCACAUAAUAAAAUGUGCUUAUUCUUCCAG
rnacentral:lncRNA from 1 species